rnacentral:snRNA from 1 species
GUGGGACUUCGGCAGCACUUACGCUAAAAUUGGAACAAUAACAGAAGAUUAGCAUGGCCCCUGUGCAAGGAUGACACUCAAACUUGUGAAGCGUUUCAUAUUUUU